GAUGAACGCUGGCGGCGUGCUUAACACAUGCAAGUCGAACGAAGCACUUAAGAUUGAUUCUUCGGAUGACGUCUUUUGUGACUUAGUGGCGGACGGGUGAGUAGCGCGUGGGUAACCUGCCUCACACAGGGGGAUAACAGUUAGAAAUGACUGCUAAUACCGCAUAACCCGAUAGGAUCGCAUGAUCCAGACGGAAAAGAUUUAUCGGUGUGAGAUGGACCCGCGUCUGAUUAGCUAGUUGGUGAGGUAACGGCCCACCAAGGCGACGAUCAGUAGCCGGCCUGAGAGGGUGAACGGCCACAUUGGGACUGAGACACGGCCCAAACUCCUACGGGAGGCAGCAGUGGGGAAUAUUGCACAAUGGGGGAAACCCUGAUGCAGCGACGCCGCGUGAGUGAAGAAGUAUUUCGGUAUGUAAAGCUCUAUCAGCAGGGAAGAAAAUGACGGUACCUGACGAAGAAGCCCCGGCUAACUACGUG
rnacentral:rRNA from 1 species